rnacentral:rRNA from 1 species
UAAGCGGAGGAAAAGAAACCACCAGGGAUUGCCUCAGUAGCGGCGAGUGAAGCGGCAAAAGCUCAAAUUUGAAAUCUGGCGUCUUUGGCGUCCGAGUUGUAAUUUGAAGAAGGUAUCUUUGGGCCCGGCUCUUGUCUAUGUUCCUUGGAACAGGACGUCACAGAGGGUGAGAAUCCCGUGCGAUGAGAUGACCCGGGUCUGUGUAAAGUUCCUUCGACGAGUCGAGUUGUUUGGGAAUGCAGCUCUAAGUGGGUGGUAAAUUCCAUCUAAAGCUAAAUAUUGGCGAGAGACCGAUAGCGAACAAGUACAGUGAUGGAAAGAUGAAAAGAACUUUGAAAAGAGAGUGAAAAAGUACGUGAAAUUGUUGAAAGGGAAGGGCUUGAGAUCAGACUUGGUAUUUUGCAUGUUGCUCUCUCGGGGGCGGCCGCUGCGGUUUACCGGGCCAGCAUCGGUUUGGAGCGGCAGGAUAAUGGCGGAGGAAUGUGGCACGGCUUCUGCUGUGUGUUAUAGCCUCUGACGAUACUGCCAGCCUAGACCGAGGACUGCGGUUUUUACCUAGGAUGUUGGCAUAAUGAUCUUAAGUCGCCCGUCUU